UGGGGAAUAUUGCACAAUGGGGGAAACCCUGAUGCAGCUACGCCGCGUGAACGAAGAAGGUAUUCGUAUCGUAAAGUUCUGUCCUAUGGGAAGAUAAUGACAGUACCAUAGAAGAAAGCUCCGGCUAAAUACGUGCCAGCAGCCCCGGUAAUACGUAUGGAGCGUGCGUUGUCCGGAAUUAUUGGGCGUAAAGGGUACGCAGGCGGUUUAAUAAGUCGAAUGUUAAAGAUCGGGGCUCAACCCCGUAAAGCAUGCGAAACUGAUAAACUUGAGUAGUGGAGAGGAAAGUGGAAUUCCUAGUGUAGUGGUGAAAUACGUAGAUAGUAGGAGGAAUACCAGUAGCGAAGGCGACUUUCUGGACACAAACUGACGCUGAGGUACGAAAGCGUGGGGAGCAAACGAG
rnacentral:rRNA from 1 species